GGCCGGGUGAGAAUGACAGGGCGAGGGUUGAACUUGAGAGGGCAGUGCAGAUGUUCUGGGAUGCUGGGCUGCCUUCACCGAGGUGUGUGGCAGUGGAUGCUGUCGUCGAGGAUGACAUAGUAUCAGCUCUCAGGGUAUCGUCUUUCCCGGAGAUACUCUUCACCAAAGCGGGGAAGAUACUCCAUCGCGACAGUGUGGUUAGGGGAGUGGAUGAGUGGUCGAAGAUAAUGGCAUUCUUCUAUUACAAAGCGGUGAGGCCAUCGUGUCUGGAUGAAAGUGCUGGACAGAAUGAAGAAAAUAUUCCAACAU
rnacentral:misc_RNA from 1 species